rnacentral:lncRNA from 1 species
AUGCCCGUCUCUCCUCUCUCUCUCUCUCCCAAUGCCCGUCUCUCCUCUCUCUCUCUCCCCAUACCCGUCUCUCCUCUCUCUCUCUCCCCAUACCCGUCUCUUCUCUCUCUCUCCCAUACCGUCUCUCUCUCUCUCUCUCUCUCCAUACCCGUCUCUCUCUCUCUCCAUACCCGUCUCUCUCCUCUCUCUCUCUCUCUCUCUCUCUCUCUCUCUCUCCAUACCCGUCUCUCUCCUCUCUCCCCGUGCCCGUCUCUCCUCUCUCUCUCUCCAUACCCGUCUCUCUCCUCUCUCUCUCUCCCCAUACCCGUCCCUUCUCUCUCUCUCUCUCUCCAUACCGUCGCUCUCUCACUCUCUCUCUCUCUCCAUACCCGUCUCUCUCCUCUCUCUCUCGCUCUCUCUCCCCAUACCGUCCCUUCUCUCUCUCUCUCUCCAUACCGUCGCUCUCUCACUCUCUCUCUCUCUCCAUACCCGUCUCUCUCCUCUCUCUCUCUCUCUCUCUCCAUACCCGUCUCUCUCCUCUCUCUCUCUCCCCAUGCCCGUCUCUCCUCUCUCUUCCAUAUCCAUCUCUCUCCUCUGUCUCUCUCUCCCCAUGCCCGUCUCUCCUCUCUUUCUCUCUCCAUACCCGUCUCUCUCCUCUCUCUCUCCCCAUACCUGUCUCUCCUCUCUCUCUCCCCAUACCCGUCUCUUCUCGCUCUCUCUCCCCAUGCCGUCCCUUCUCUCUCUCUCUCUCCAUACCGUCGCUCUCUCACUCUCUCUCUCUCUCCAUACCCGUCUCUCUCCUCUCUCUCUCUCUCUCUCUCCAUACCCGUCUCUCUCCUCUCUCUCUCUCCCCAUGCCCGUCUCUCCUCUCUCUCUCUCCAUAUCCAUCUCUCUCCUCUGUCUCUCUCUCCCCAUGCCCGUCUCUCCUCUCUUUCUCUCUCCAUACCCGUCUCUCUCCUCUCUCUCUCCCCAUACCCGUCUCUCCUCUCUCUCUCCCCAUACCCGUCUCUUCUCUCUCUCUCUCUCUCCCCAUACCGUCUCUCCUCUCUCUCUCUCUCUCUCUCUCUCUCUCUCCAUACCCGUCUCUCCUCUCUCUCUCUCUCUCUCUCUCCAUACCCGUCUCUCCUCUCUCUCUCUCUCCCCAUACCCAUCUCUCCUCUCUCUCUCUCCCAUUUACCCGUCUCUCCUCUCUCUCUCUCUCUCUCUCCUCAUACCCGUCUCUCCUCUCUCUCUCUCUCCCCAUACCCGUCUCUCCUCUCUCUCUCUCCCCAUACCCGUCUCUCCUCUCUCUCUCUCUCCCCAUACCCGUCUCUCCUCUCUCUCUCUCCCCAUACCGUCUCUCCUCUCUCUCUCUCUCUCCCCAUACCCGUCUCUCCUCUCUCUCUCUCUCCCCAUACCCGUCUCUCCUCUCUCUCUCUCCCCAUGCCCGUCUCUCUUCUCUCUCUCCCCAUACCCGUCUCUCCUCUCUCUCUCUCUCCCCAUACCGGUCUCUCCCCUCUCUCUCGCUCUCUCUCUCCCCAUACCCGUCUCUUCUCUCUCUCUCUCCCCAUACCGUCUCUCUCUCUCUCUCUCUCUCCAUACCCGUCUCUCUCUCUCUCCAUACCCGUCUCUCCUCUCUCUCUCUCGCUCUCUCCAUACCCAUCUCUCUCCUCUCUCUCUCUCUCUCCCCAUGCCCGUCUCUCCUCUCUCUCUCUCUCCAUACCCGUCUCUCUCCUCUCUCUCUCCCCAUACCCGUAUCUCCUCUCUCUCCCCAUACCUGUCUCUUCUCUCUCUCUCUCCCCAUACCGUCUCUCUCCUCUCUCUCUCUCUCUCUCCAUACCCGUCUCUCCUCUCUCUCUCUCUCUCUCCAUACCGUCUCUCUCCUCUCUCUCUCCCCAUACCCGUCUCUCCUCUCUCUCUCUCCCCAUACCCAUCUCUCCUCUCUCUCUCUCCCAUUUACCCGUCUCUCCUCUCUCUCUCUCUCCUCAUACCCGUCUCUCCUCUCUCUCUCUCUCCCCAUACCCGUCUCUCCUCUCUCUCUCUCUCCCCAUACCCGUCUCUCCUCUCUCUCUCUCCCCAUACCCAUCUCUCCUCUCUCUCUCUCUCCAUACCCGUCUCUCUCCCCUCUCUCUCCCCAUACCCGUCUCUCCUCUCUCUCCCCAUACCUGUCUCUUCUCUCUCUCUCUCCCCAUACCCGUCUCUCCUCUCUCUCUCUCUUUCCCCAUACCCGUCUCUCCUCUCUCUCUCUCCCCAUACGCGUCUCUCCUCUCUCUCUCUCCCCAUACCAUCGCUCUCUCUCUCUCUCUCUCUCCAUACCCGUCUCUUUCCUCUCUCUCUCUCUCUCUCCCCAUACCCGUCUCUCUCCUCUCUCUCUCUCCCCAUGCCCGUCUCUCCUUUCUCUCUCCCUAUACCCGUCUCUCCUCUCUCUCUCUCCCCAUACCCGUCUCUCUCCUCUCUCUCUCCCCAUACCCAUCUCUCCUCUCUCUCUCUCUCUCUCUCCCCAUGCCGUCGCUCUCUCUCUCU